AGUGAACGCUGGCGGCAGGCCUAAUACAUGCAAGUCGAACGGCAGCACAGCAGAGCUUGCUCUGUGGGUGGCGAGUGGCGGACGGGUGAGGAAUACGUGGGAAUCUGCCCAGUCGUGGGGAUAACGUAGGGAAACUUACGCUAAUACCGCAUGCGCCCUUCGGGGAAAGCCGGGGACCUUCGGGCCUGGCGCGAUUGGAUGAGCCCACGUCGGAUUAGCUAGUUGGCGGGUAAAGCCCACCAAGGCGACGAUCCGUAGCUGGUCUGAGAGGAUGAUCAGCCACACUGGAACUGAGACACGGUCCAGACUCCUACGGGAGCAGCAGUAGGGAAUAUUGGACAAUGGGCGCAAGCCUGAUCCAGCCAUGCCGCGUGAGUGAAGAA
rnacentral:rRNA from 1 species